UACGUAGGGUGCAAGCGUUGUCCGGAAUUAUUGGGCGUAAAGAGCUCGUAGGCGGUCUGUCGCGUCGGCUGUGAAACCUUGGGGCUCAACCCCAAGCCUGCAGUCGAUACGGGCAGACUAGAGUGCGGUAGGGGAGACUGGAAUUCCUGGUGUAGCGGUGAAAUGCGCAGAUAUCAGGAGGAACACCGGUGGCGAAGGCGGGUCUCUGGGCAUUACCUGACGCUGAGGAGCGAAAGUGUGGGGAGCGAACAGG
rnacentral:rRNA from 1 species